CUUGUAUCUGACCACUUGGCUCAAGAUCUUGUCCACUUAAUUGCACCAGACAUGGUCAGGAGGCAGCGGCUACCACUCAGCUGCCUUCGUGGAUCCUGCAGCAUGGGAUGAGCUUUGUGAGAAGAGAGGAGGUCACCAGGAGUAUCUGUAAGAGCUAGAGAAACUCCCUGAAAGAGAAGCCCAUGGCUUUCUUAUGUGAUGUGCUCUAUGAUAGUGUUCAUUUAUGUGAUCAACAGUGCACUGAGAUAAAGAGAGAGUAAAGACAGUUCCCCUGACUGCAGUAGAGAGAAGCUACCAUUUGGUCAGAGGAAUCAAAGCUUCCAUUCUCAGUCCCUUAAGAGGCUUUGCUUCAUGAGACUUUCCCGAGCUUCGUGGAGAGGUAGCAGUAGGUGAUUUUGUACAAUGGUUUUCAUAUCUGACUGAACGGAAUUCAAAUCCUGUAUUUUUCACUCAGCAACUGCUUAACCUUGGACAAGUCACAUAAUCUGGUGCUCAUGUCCCUCAUCUGUAAAGAAAUGGGACAAGCACAAAAAUUCACUUCCAAGGGCUUCCAGGAGGAUUAACUGAAAUUAUACCCCUACAAUUUUUCAAGGUUAAUAAAGUUAACAAUAUGUACACUGAAAAAAUACCUCUGAAGGAGAGAGAGCCAUUUGUCCUUUUGUUCUGGAGAGCUGCAACCAAAGAAAACGGAAGAGAAAUGAACCAUAUAAAAUGUUGAUGCCAACAUUGAAAGUCUGCCAACUCAGGUGACUGUAUCAACAGCUUGCUGCUGGUCAACAAUGCACAGCAGAAUGGAAUGGCAUGCCCAUUCAGAACGAGGCCUGAGUUGUUUGGGGGUAAAGCAGGAAGAGAUGCAGAAUGAAAAGCUUCACGUGUAUGUGAUGAACACUAAACUCUUUAAAAUGGAAAUCAAUACUGCAGCUGCUGUACAGUUGUUCAAAAUCACAGAUAUCAUUCUAGUGUCUAACCAAGGUAAACCUAAGGACAAGCCGUGGUUCUUACCUGAAAGUGGCCACAAAGUUCACUGUGGGCCAGCCCAGGACAAAGGACUUCAGGGCGUUCGUGUUGCCUUCCCCCACCUCGUCCACGCAGCUUGCUGUCCACAUGUCAGUUAGCUUUAUUUUGUUUUUUAUCUUAAGGUUGUUGUUAUAUCUAGUGAGAUAGAAACCAGAAUGGGUGCUCUUGUUAUCUUGUUUCUUGAGCUUUAUGGGAAGUUCUCUAUUUGUUACGAGAGGGCAAAGAACGUCUUCUUGGCCCUAUCUCCUGUCCCUGGAACACCAGAUUGCAAUGUGGAUGGUUGCUUAGGCCUCUGAAACACUGGGCAAACUCAGCUCUCAUGCCUGCAUUAAUGGGAGCAGAUAUCUGUAAACUGACUUCGUAUAUAUGUUGAAUACUACAUUUGGAUCAAAACCCAACUUAAAUUUAUUUCUGUCAUAAAAGUUAAUUUAGUAUCUGUAACUUGCUUACUUUCAAAAUUAUAUCAAUGAAUAUAUAUAAAAA